rnacentral:rRNA from 1 species
CCUACGGGGGGCAGCAGUGGGGAAUAUCGGACAAUGGGGGGAACCCUGAUCCAGCCAUGCCGCGUGUGUGAAGAAGGCCCUCGGGUUGUAAAGCACUUUCAGUGAGGAAGAACGCCUGGUGGUUAAUACCCAUCAGGAAAGACAUCACUCACAGAAGAAGCACCGGCUAACUCCGUGCCAGCAGCCGCGGUAAUACGGAGGGUGCGAGCGUUAAUCGGAAUUACUGGGCGUAAAGCGCGCGUAGGUGGCUUGAUAAGCCGGUUGUGAAAGCCCCGGGCUCAACCUGGGAACGGCAUCCGGAACUGUCAAGCUAGAGUGCAGGAGAGGAAGGUAGAAUUCCCGGUGUAGCGGUGAAAUGCGUAGAGAUCGGGAGGAAUACCAGUGGCGAAGGCGGCCUUCUGGACUGACACUGACACUGAGGUGCGAAAGCGUGGGUAGCAAACAGGAUUAGAUACCCCUGUAGUC